CUACAGAGCACGAUCCAGUUUAUCCAUAGGUGGAUGAGAUUGCCCAGCUCACCAUCCCGAGAAGCAACCAUCAGCACCAGAUGAAACUGUCUUGGAAGCCUCAGCCAAGCUGCCAGCUGAAUGCACCUAUGAUCUCCACUAAUGCCCCAGGAAAGAGAAAAACUGCUCAUUGAGCUCAGCCCAAAUUCCUGAUUCAGAGACUCACAGGAAGUUGCAGCAGUUGGUUUCAGGCUGAAAUCUCUGAAGAUCAGUGAGGAGGGAAACAGAAGGGCCUGAAUGUGCGUGUGCACGUGCGUGCACACACACACACACACACACACACACGAUCAUCAGGUCUUACUCAUUGUGGAGGAAACACAAACAACCUCGAGAAAGGCCCUGAGAUUUAAGAUGGGACACAUCUGGAGGGGAAGGUCAAGAGAAGACAUGACACCCAAGUUGGGGAAAUACCAGUCUCUGAGCAUCAUUUUAUUAUUAAAAAGUUUUUUUAGUGACAGCCCUCUACAACAGCAAUAGCUUCUGAGAUUCAAGCUAUUGAAAUUCACCUAGACAGGUCCAGAUGUUCCGAAGCGCUUUCAGAAGGAAAGGGCCUGCUGUGGGGUUUAGAGACGCUACUGAUGAGAUUAACAUGCCUCCAGAGAUGUGAGAAGGAGCAGGCAUCAUCUUGUUAACGUCUUGUGGCUGGAUUGUCACUCAUGGUGAGAACUGGAUGAUAUGGAGAAUAAGGAGUGUUGUCACGGUAACAGAAAAAAGGAGGUCACCAGGGAACCCGGAGAAGGAAGCCUCUGUCCAGCACACCAAGGAACUCCAAUUUGAGUGGGAAAUUGUUCCUGCCCAGGGCAAAAUAUCCAACUGGAUGAAGAUCUCAACUCUUUGCAUUCUAAUCUUCCAUUCUCCAACCAAAACUUAUAAGGAAAGGCAUGUCCUGGCCAGUGGGCCAAGUAUUCCCCUCUCCACUGCAAGCACAUCAGCGCGAACUUACCAAGGGUCCUCAAUUGCAUUUAGCUGUCAUCUCUCCUCAGUCUGCUCUGGUCUGUAAGUUUCUCAGUCUUUCCUUGUUAUUUAUGACUUUGGCAGUCUUGAGAAAUAUUAACCAAAUAUCCUGUAAA